rnacentral:rRNA from 1 species
CCUACGGGGGGCAGCAGUGGGGAAUAUUGCACAAUGGGGGAAACCCUGAUGCAGCAACGCCGCGUGAGUGAUGACGGCCUUCGGGUUGUAAAGCUCUGUCUUCAGGGACGAUAAUGACGGUACCUGAGGAGGAAGCCACGGCUAACUACGUGCCAGCAGCCGCGGUAAUACGUAGGUGGCGAGCGUUGUCCGGAUUUACUGGGCGUAAAGGGUGCGUAGGUGGUUUCUUAAGUCAGGAGUGAAAGGCUACGGCUUAACCGUAGUAAGCUCUUGAAACUGGGAAACUUGAGUGCAGGAGAGGAAAGUGGAAUUCCUAGUGUAGCGGUGAAAUGCGUAGAUAUUAGGAGGAAUACCAGUUGCGAAGGCGGCUCUCUGGACUGUAACUGACACUGAGGCACGAAAGCGUGGGGAGCAAACAGGAUUA